GGCGGACGGGUGAGUAACGCGUAAGGAACUUGCCUCUUGGUCUGGGACAACUGUUGGAAACGACAGCUAAUACCGGAUAUUAUGAGAUUCUCGCAUGGGAAACUUAUGAAAGCUAUAUGCGCCAAGAGAGAGCCUUGCGUUCCAUUAGCUAGUUGGUGGGGUAACGGCCCACCAAGGCGACGAUGGAUAGCCGGCCUGAGAGGGUGAACGGCCACAAGGGGACUGAGACACGGCCCUUACUCCUACGGGAGGCAGCAGUGGGGAAUAUUGGACAAUGGGCCACAAGCCUGAUCCAGCAAUUCUGUGUGCACGAUGAAGGUCUUCGGAUUGUAAAGUGCUUUCAGUUGGGAAGAAGAAAGUGACGGUACCAACAGAAGAAGCGACGGCUAAAUACGUGCCAGCAGCCGCGGUAAUACGUAUGUCGCAAGCGUUAUCCGGAUUUAUUGGGCGUAAAGCGCGUCUAGGCGGAAAAAUAAGUCUGAUGUUAAAAUGCGGGGCUCAACUCCGUAUUGCGUUGGAAACUGUUUUUCUAGAGUACUGGAGAGGUGGGCGGAACUACAAGUGUAGAGGUGAA
rnacentral:rRNA from 1 species